CAUCCGGCUACUCCGCGCUGGGGAGGCGCAAUCGCUGCAAAUCACGCCGGGAAAUGGACGCUGCGGCAAAGGCGCCCCCUUGGCCAACUCCAGCCUCGCCCCCCUCCGCGGGGCGCACAGGCGCGCAGGCAAGGUGAGGUGGAGGCAAGGAACAUACCUGGAUCACAUACAAUGAUAACGAGAAAAUUCCACUGAAGCAUACAGAAGGUGCCAUAUAGCAUUGAAGGAGACCAAAAAGAGAUUAUGCUCUGUGGCAUGGGAAUCUAGAAGAAAAACACCAUGUGCACUCACACACAGGCUACCUAAGUGUGGGUAACAAACGAGUGCUCGAUUAAUACCAAACAAUGCUAUAAAAACUGUGGGAAUUCAAAUCCAAAUACAAAGUGGGAAUUUUUUACAUAUGGGGAAAAUGUCUUCAACACUCUACAGACUUAGGAUGUUGGUUCACAGGGGCACAAGAUUGAGACCAAUCAUAGCUUUGUUUUUCUCUCUCUGCCUAUUUCCAUUUUUUUCCCCUAGAAAUUGCUGCAUAAAAAUGUUAGAAAGCAAAGAAGAAGUGGAACAAAGGGACAUUUACCAUUAAUAGGGACAGAAGGCGAAUCUGUGUCUCUAAUGCUCUGGAAAAAUUCUAUUUCUGCCUAACACACUAGAGUAUCAAAAGCCAAUAGCAGCAGUGUAUAACCUCUAUAUAUGCUGGCCAAAAUUAUUAUUUCCCUGAAUCUGAGGGAAAAAAUUCCAAUAAAUCAUGAGUCGAUGUUCAAUUACUGAUAUUACAAACUUCUAGCUAAACGUUCUGCUCCUUGAAUGCAACGAACACUGCUACAAGAGUUUUGGCCAAGUCACUUGGCUUCCUGAGAUUACGCAGUCCUGAUUCUCUUCUCAUCUGAAUGGUUAGCAAUGUGGAGGGACUCUAUUGAAGUAACUGGGACAGCUGCUCUUCACUGUUCUGCUGCCUCUGCACCAUUCAAGGUGCAAAGGUUGGCCUCAAGCCAGCUGCUGGGGAGUCCCUCAAUGUUAGGGAGUUCCCAGAAGGGAUAGAGCUAGUAGAGCUAGCUCCUUGCACAUCCUCCCCACAGCUUCUGCAGGAAGUAUCAGAAACUGGGAAGGGGGGUGAGGGAGGCGUGAGGAAGAGGCCAGAGCAUUCUCUACUCCAGUAGAGAUCCCUUGGGGGCCAUUGUCAUCUUGCACAGGUUACAGCAGCCUCCAGUCUGCUCUAACCUGGUCUCCGGGUCUAGGAGAGAAUAAGGGUAUUAUAACUGGCUCCCUGGACAGAAACUGGACACAGCAGUGUGCUUUCAUUAAUGUAAACCUAGUGUAAAUGAAAGGAUGGUUAGGUCUUUUGUAUAUCAAUCCACUUGACCUGCAUUACUUAACUUUGACUUGUGUCACUCUCUAACAUUUCCGUUAGACUCUUGAGGAUUCCUUAUUACUAUUUAAAUUUAGUUCUAUUUCCCUAAUGCAUGCACCCAUUGGUGAGAGGAUCUCUCCCCGCAUCAGUUCUGGAGAAUUCAAAUUUCCCCCGCCAUCUGUGGAUUUAUUUAUUUUUUUAAUUUAUUGGACUCAGGAUUGAGUCCUAAAAAGUGUGCCACUUCUACAAGAUGUCAAGUCUGCUCAACUUCCCUCAAAACCACUGGGAUUUGAAGGCACAAAGUAGGGUAAAAUGGUUAUAAUCUGAGAAAUUAUACCCCUAGCAUGACCUACAGAGUUAUGCAGCAAUGUGGCUUUGUGGGUGUCAAGCUUUUCUUGUUGUCCCAUUUAAAAACUUGUUUAAAAAAAAAUGAAAUUGGGAGAUUCAUCAGAACUCACCCUUUCCCGUGAACAGUUUCAUCUUAUCAGCAUUUUCCUAUGAAAAAAUGUUAAAUUCUUGACCAGCUCUAAUUAUACACUGAUAAUAUAACAUCUGCUGCUUAUUCUAGUUGGAACACUGACACGGAGAGAAGCAAAAGAAAAGAAAAAAAAAUAAAUUUUGGGCCAAUGUUCAGCAAAGUUCUCACUGUUUCUAAAUGGGUUCUUCCAUCCCUUAUCUGAGUGAAGACUGAAGUCUCUUCAGAUCUUUCAAAGAAACCUCAGAAGUGCUGAUCCCUAUAGAUAUUGGUAGAAAUAGGUGAAACUUCUGUUUUAGUUUCUAGAAAAGCCUGUGGCCCAACUCUCAACCUAAAAGCAGAAUGCAAAACAUUGUCCCUUUUCCAGUCCAUUUCACUAAUGUGUCAUAAUUUGAUGAGCAGCUCACAGUCACAUGCUCUGAUUAAAAUUUCAUAAAAUGUGAAUAGAAUGCUUGUAGCAUGGAAACAAAAUGAAUCCCCAAAGCUUUAAA